AUUCUGCAACCCGUACUCAUAUGCAGAAACUAAGGCACAGGAUGGUGCAGUGAUUUGUCGAAGGUCACUCAGUAAACCAGUGACAGAGCACAGAAUAGAAUCCAGUUCUCCUGGGUCCCAAUCCAGUGAUCUGUCCAUUAGGCCAUGCUUCCUGCUGGGGUACUGCUUGUGUCCAGCCCUGUAACAUAUGUUACCAGAAGAAAUGCUGAUUAAAGGUGUCUUUUGUUCAGUACACGAUUUAAAAGGUGACUCUAAAACCUGCC